rnacentral:misc_RNA from 1 species
AUUUGGAAUGGCAAUAGGAAACAAAGCUAUAGAUUAUUGAACAUGUUUAUGACGAUAUGUGCCUUCCAUACAUGGACAUGACAUCUGUUUAUAGAUAAAACUACAGCAGUGGUGUCCAAAAGCAAGUCUAGUGACAUAUUUUAACACAGAAACACAACUGCUACGCCUUGAAAGGAACGAAAGCUAGACGUCUUAGUCAUCUGAAUCAUCAUCAUCAACAACGCCAGCUCCGGCUCCAAGUAGUGUAGUCAGGAUCAUUUGCUCCCAUCCCCUUAAGCUUGCCCUGAACCUGUGAAACCGAGGAGGACUACUUGACUCUCCUUUAGUAGAUUUGUUACUUGACUCGCACAACAACCUUUCUUUUGGGCAGUACUUCAGACUGCACUUCCCGGAUUCAUCGAGUAUCUCAACAUCAAAUGUUGACAAGAGUGGCCUUCCAACAACUUGGACAUGCGACACACAUAUAUAAUAUAGACCAUCCAAUUGUUGUUUCUGAACUCUGCCUAAGAGCUCGACUUGUAGGAUCCCGCCAAUGCAAAGAACAGGUUCUGGCAGCUUAAACUUCUGCAAGAUGUUGUCCUGAACCAAGGGAAAUUCUGGUGAGGUAUAUGUCCAUACAACCUUGUCAGAGAAAGAUCGGGCUUGACCAGCCACAGAUUCUUGUCCAUUGUCACUUUCUACGUCUAUUUUAACAUUAGGAUGUCCCACCCGGAAUCUCACAGCUUUUGCUGAAUAAAUGGGAAAGCCAAACUGGAAAUAUGCUUGAAAUGGCUGUACAUGAAUUUCUGAAAUCAGGCACAGCUUUGAGAUUAAUUUAUAUGUUAGUGUCUCGGGAACUGUAGGAUCACUUUGCCCUCCACUUGACCAGUAUGAAGCUCUGCGCUCAACACGAUCGCCUGGUUUUAAUGUAUUCAGAAUGCUUUCUUCAGGAUAGUUGUCAGUGCUUGAUGCAUGAAUUGCAUCUAUUAAGCAGUCUUCCGUCAUACAGUUGGAAAGGCCGCGUGACAAAA